rnacentral:rRNA from 1 species
UACGGAGGAGGCAAGCGUUAUCCGGAAUUAUUGGGCGUAAAGCGUCCGCAGGUGGCACUUCAAGUCUGUCGUCAAAGACUGGGGCUUAACCCUGGAAAGGCGGUGGAAACUGAAGCGCUAGAGUGCGGUAGGGGUAGAGGGAAUUCCCGGUGUAGCGGUGAAAUGCGUAGAGAUCGGGAAGAACAUCGGUGGCGAAAGCGCUCUACUGGACCGAAACUGACACUGAGAGACGAAAGCUAGGGGAGCGAAUGGG